UACGGGAGGCAGCAGUGGGGAAUAUUGCACAAUGGGCGCAAGCCUGAUGCAGCCAUGCCGCGUGUAUGAAGAAGGCCUUCGGGUUGUAAAGUACUUUCAGCGGGGAGGAAGGUGUUGAGGUUAAUAACCUCAGCAAUUGACGUUACCCGCAGAAGAAGCACCGGCUAACUCCGUGCCAGCAGCCGCGGUAAUA
rnacentral:rRNA from 1 species